rnacentral:rRNA from 1 species
UAGUCCACGCCGUAAACGAUGGUCACUAGCUGUUUGAACUUCGGUUUGAGUGGCUAAGCGAAAGUGAUAAGUGACCCACCUGGGGAGUACGUUCGCAAGAAUGAAACUCAAAGGAAUUGACGGGGGCCCGCACAAGCGGUGGAGCAUGUGGUUUAAUUCGAUGAUACGCGAGGAACCUUACCAGGGCUUAAAUGUAAGUUGCAUAGAUCAGAGAUGGUCUUUUCUUCGGACUACUUACAAGGUGCUGCAUGGUUGUCGUCAGCUCGUGCCGUGAGGUGUCAGGCUAAGUCCUAUAACGAGCGCAACCCUUGUCUUUAGUUGCCAUCAUUAAGUUGGGCACUUUAAAGAGACUGCCGGUGACAAACCGGAGGAAGGUAAGGAUGACGUCAAGUCAGCAUGCCCCUUAUGCUCUGGGCUACACACGUGCUACAAUGGCCGUGACAAAGAGUUGCUACUUUGUGAAACAGCUAAUCUCAUAAACGCGGCCUCAGUUCGGAUUGC